rnacentral:rRNA from 1 species
CAGCCGCCGCGGGAAUACGUAGGGUGCAAGCGUUAAUCGGAAUUACUGGGCGUAAAGCGUGCGCAGGCGGUUUGUUAAGACAGAUGUGGAAUCCCCGGGCUCAACCUGGGAACUGCAUUUGUGACUGGCAAGCUAGAGUCUGGCAGAGGGGGGUGGAAUUCCGCGUGUAGCAGUGAAAUGCGUAGAUAUGCGGAGGAACACCGAUGGCGAAGGCAGCCCCCUGGGCCAACACUGACGCUCAUGCACGAAAGCGUGGGGAGCAAACAGGAUUAGAUACCCCUGUAGUCCCUGUCUCUUAUAC